rnacentral:rRNA from 1 species
AUUGAACGCUGGCGGAAUGCUUUACACAUGCAAGUCGAACGGCAGCACGGACUUCGGUCUGGUGGCGAGUGGCGAACGGGUGAGUAAUGUAUCGGAACGUGCCCAGUCGUGGGGGAUAACGUAGUGAAAAUUACGCUAAUACCGCAUACGAUCUAUGGCUGAAAGCGGGGGAUCGCAAGACCUCGCGCGAUUGGAGCGGCCGAUAUCAGAUUAGGUAGUUGGUGGGGUAAAGGCCCACCAAGCCAACUAUCUGUAGCUGGUCUGAGAGGACGACCAGCGACACUGGAACUGAGACACGGUCCAGACUCCUACGGGAGGCAGCAGUGGGGAAUUUUGGACAAUGGGCGAAAGCCUGAUCCAGCCAUUCCGCGUGCAGGAUGAAGGCCCUCGGGUUGUAAACUGCUUUUGUACAGAACGAAAAGGUUUCAACUAAUACUAGGAGCUCAUGACGGUACUGUAAGAAUAAGCACCGGCUAACUACGUGCCAGCCGCCGCUGUAA